GACAGAGGUGCCAAGCGUUAGGCGGAAUCACUGGGCUUAAAGCGUGUGUAGGUGGAUUGGUAAGUACCUUGUGAAAUCCCACAGCUCAACUGUGGAACUGCUCGGUAUACUGCUGAUCUUGAGCUACUUAGGGGCGAGCGGAACAAAUGGUGGAGCGGUGAAAUGCGUAGAUAUCAUUUGGAACGCCAAUGGUGAAAACAGCUCGCUGGGAGUAUGCUGACACUGAGACACGAAAGCUAGGGGAGCGAACGGG
rnacentral:rRNA from 1 species